UACCAGCACCCCGAGUGGUCGGGACGUUUAUUGGGCCUAAAGCAUCCGUAGCCGGUUCUACAAGUCUUCCGUUAAAUCCAACUGCUUAACAGGUGGGCUGCGGAAGAUACUAUAGAGCUAGGAGGCGGGAGAGGCAAGCGGUACUCGAUGGGUAGGGGUAAAAUCCGUUGAUCCAUUGAAGACCACCAGUGGCGAAGGCGGCUUGCCAGAACGCGCUCGACGGUGAGGGAUGAAAGCUGGGGGAGCAACCGG
rnacentral:rRNA from 1 species